GGAGAAUUGGCCGAGUGGUUUAAGGUGCACGCUUGGAAAGCGUGUGUAGGGGAAACUCUACCGUGGGUUCGAAUCCCAUGUUCUCCG
rfam:Bdellovibrionales bacterium RIFOXYA1_FTLL_36_14 rifoxya1_full_scaffold_166, whole genome shotgun sequence.